rnacentral:rRNA from 1 species
GAUGAACGCUGGCGGCGUGCCUAAUACAUGCAAGUCGAGCGAGAAUCUGAUGAAUGGGGAUUCGUCAAAAUGAAUCAGAGGAAAGCGGCGGACGGGUGAGUAACGCGUAGGCAACCUGACCUUAGCAGAGGGAUAGCCAUUGGAAACGAUGAUUAAAACCUCAUAAUGCUGAAAAGUCACAUGUCAUUUCAGCCAAAGAUUUAUCGGCUAAGGAUGGGCCUGCGUCUGAUUAACUAGUUGGUGGGGUAACGGCUCACCAAGGUUACGAUCAGUAGCCGACCUGAGAGGGUGAUCGGCCACAUUGGAACUGAGACACGGUCCAAACUUCUACGGAAGGCAGCAGUAAGGAAUCUUGCACAAUGGGGGAAAACCUGAUGCAGCAACGCCGCGUGAACGAUGAAGGCCUUCGGGUUGUAAAGUUCUGAUCUUAGGGAAGAAGAAGUGACGGUACCUAAGGAGAAAGCCCCGGCUAACUACGUGCCAGCAGCCGCAGUAACAC